CCUACGGGGGGCUGCAGUAACGAAUCUUCCGCAAUGCACGCAAGUGUGACGGAGCGACGCCGCGUGGAGGUUAAGUCCUUCGGGAUGUAAACUCCUGUCAGGGGUUACCCUAGAGCCCCAGAGGAAGGCACGGCUAACUCUGUGCCAGCAGCCGCGGUAAUACAGAGGUGCCAAGCGUUAGGCGGAAUCACUGGGCUUAAAGCGCGUGUAGGUGGACGGGUAAGUAUCUUGUGAAAUCCCACGGCUCAACCGUGGAACUGCUGGAUAUACUGCUUGUCUUGAGGCACUUAGGGGCAGCUGGAACAAAUGGUGGAGCGGUGAAAUGCGUAGAUAUCAUUUGGAACGCCAAAGGCGAAAGCAGGCUGCUGGGAGUGUCUGACACUGAGACGCGAAAGCCAGGGGAGCAAACGGGAUUAGAUACCCUAGUAGUC
rnacentral:rRNA from 1 species